rnacentral:tRNA from 1 species
GCUAUUGAUUUUAAGUUUUUUAAACCGUGCAGAUUCCUAAUCUGUAGGUCACAGGUUCGAUUCCUGUCGGGAUCACCA